AUAACAGUAUUGGUCGAAUUAAUAAUAGGCAGUGCGAAUCAUUAAAAUUUGUGUUGGCGUAGGUAAUCACUUGAACGCCCACACUACAAAUGUAAAUUUGGCAAAGAAACUUCGUGGGAAGAAGCAACCCAGAACUUACUUCAGUAAAUUAUGAGUUUUAAUUUUCUAUUUUCGGUAAACCUCGUGAAUAAGAAUAAGUGAACACCAGCUGCAUCAGUCACCGUUCAAAACUUUUGAAAAACAAAACACGAAUUUCAACCUUCGUUCUUGGAAAAGUAUUUCUGCGGUCCAGUAGUUUGUAAGGUUGCAGCGACGAAGCAUGUCAUGACCGAAACAAUAAGCGUGAAAAUGACUUACACACACUAUUCUUAAAUGAAAUGAAUUUGUUACAUGAACGUAUGUAUGAUGAGAACCCAAACCAUUAUUUUGUGUCACAAGUAAUUGUGUUAAUAAUUUUUAACUCUGAAUAUGAUAUUCAGGGAAAGUGUCGUUUGAUUUUCAAACAUAAAUCACAUUAAGUAUGUAUACUAUUUUAGUUUUAUUAAAUGACUUAUACGAUUUAA